rnacentral:lncRNA from 11 species
GCCCAUUUAUGUUGGAUAAGUGAGACUCUACUGUAUAGAAAACAUUGACUACAAAAAUGCCUUGGAUAAUCCAGAAACUUGGAUAAGCGAGGCUUGGAUAAGUGAGACUCUACUGUAUAUACUAGCU